rnacentral:tRNA from 1 species
UGAUACGAGGGAUUUGGUGAUUCUUCUUGACGAUAGAAGUUUCAGCNNNNAAGCUCCAUGUGUCGGCGGUUCGAUUCCGUCUCGCGCCAU